UGCCCUUUAGCCAAGUUGGUAAGGCAGUGGCUUCUGGUGCCAUGACGCGCUGGUUCGAGUCCAGCAAGGGCAA
rnacentral:tRNA from 2 species